rnacentral:rRNA from 1 species
AAGGUUUGUCCUGCCCAGUGAUAUAAAUUCAACGGUCGCGGUAUAUUGACCGUGCAAAGGUAGCAUAAUCAUUAGUCUUUUAAUAGGGGGCUGGUAUGAAAGGUUAAACGAAACAUUAACUGUCUUAUUUAUAAAUAUUAAAAUUUAACUUUUAAGUCAAAAGGCUUAAAUUUUUUUGGAGGACGAGAAGACCCUAUAGAGCUUUACAUUAUGUUUUUUAAUAUUUCUUGGUUAAAUAUUUUGAUAUUAAUUUAUCUAUUGUUUUGUUGGGGUGACAAUAAAAUAUGAUUAACUUUUUAUAAAACUUACAUUUAUUUAUGAAUUUUUGAUCCAAUAUUAUUGAUCAUUAGAUUAAGUUACCUUAGGGAUAACAGCGUAAUCUUUCUUAGGAGUUCAAAUUUACAGAAAGGCUUGCGACCUCGAUGUUGGAUUAAGAUAAUAGUUAGGUGCAGUAGCUUAACGAAUAAG